AGCAGCCGCGGUAAUUCCAGCUCCAAUAGCGUAUAUUAAAGUUGUUGCAGUUAAAAAGCUCGUAGUUGAAUUUCGAGACCGGCUUACUGGUCGUGCUUUUGUACGUACUGGUAUAAUCGGUUUCUCCUUUCUGACGAACUAUAAUGCCAUUAAUUUGGUGUUAUAGGGAAUCAGGACUGUUACUUUGAAAAAAUUAGAGUGUUUAAAGCAGGCUCACGCUUGAAUACAUUAGCAUGGAAUAACGGAAUAGGACGUUUGAUUCUAUUUUGUUGGUUUCUAGGAUCGACGUAAUGAUUAAUAGGGAUAGUUGGGGGCAUUAGUAUUCAAUUGUCAGAGGUGAAAUUCUUGGAUUUAUUGAAGACUAACUACUGCGAAAGCAUUUGCCAAGGAUGUUUUCAUUAAUCAAGAACGAAAGUUAGGGGAUCGAAGACGAUCAGAUACCGUCGUAGUCUUAACCAUAAACUAUGCCGACUAGGGAUCGGAUGAUGU
rnacentral:rRNA from 1 species